GUGCUCACUUCAGCAGCACAUAUACUAAAAUUGGAACGAUACAGAGAAGAUUAUCAUGGCCCCUGCACAAGGAUGAAACGCAAAUUCAUGGGAAAGAAAUUAAAUAA
rnacentral:snRNA from 1 species